rnacentral:rRNA from 1 species
AUGAACGCUGCCAGAAUGCUUAACACCUGCAAGUCUACUUGAACUUCGGUUUGGGUGGCGGACGGGUGAGUAACGCGUAAAGAACUUGCCUCACAGAUAGGGACAACAUUUGGAAACGAAUGCUAAUACCUGAUAUUAUGAUUUUAGGGCAUCCUAGAAUUAUGAAAGCUAUAUGCACUGUGAGAGAGCUUUGCGUCCCAUUAGCUAGUUGGAGAGGUAACGGCUCACCAAGGCGAUGAUGGGUAGCCGGCCUGAGAGGGUGAUCGGCCACAAGGGGACUGAGACACGGCCCUUACUCCUACGGGAGGCAGCAGUGGGGAAUAUUGGACAAUGGACCAAGAGUCUGAUCCAGCAAUUCUGUGUGCACGAUGAAGUUUUUCGGAAUGUAAAGUGCUUUCAGUUGGGAAGAAAAAAAUGACGGUACCAACAGAAGAAGUGACGGCUAAAUACGUG